rnacentral:rRNA from 1 species
ACGGGAGGCAGCAGUGGGGAAUAUUGGGCAAUGGGCGCAAGCCUGACCCAGCGACGCCACGUGAGGGAAGAAGGUCUUCGGAUUGUAAACCUCUUUCAGCAGGGAAGAAGCAAGUGACGGUACCCGCAGAAGAAGUCACGGCUAACUACGUGCCAGCAGCCGCGGUAAUACGUAGGUGGCGAGCGUUAUCCGGAAUUACUGGGUGUAAAGGGUGUGUAGGCGGAGAAGCAAGUCAGGCGUGAAAUUUAUGGGCUCAACUCAUAAACUGCGCUUGAAACUGUUUCCCUUGAGAGUGGGAGAGGUAAACGGAAUUCCUGGUGUAGUAGUGAAAUGCGUAGAUAUCAGGAGGAACACCGGUGGCGAAGGCGGUUUACUGGACCACAACUGACGCUGAGACACGAAAGCGUGGGGAGCAAACAGGAUUAGAUACCCUGGUA